rnacentral:piRNA from 1 species
CAGAACAAGAAAGUAUGAGGAC